CCCCUGACCCUCCAGGCGCGCCGCCACGGUCGUCGUCACUGUAGAGAGAGGGAGCCGCUCAGAUCGCUCCCAGUCUAAGCCGAGCCUCCACAUCUCGCAUGAAGAAAGAGAUCUGUGCGUCACUUCCUCCAUCCUGUACAGGAAGACGAUGUAUCCAACCAUGUCGUCGCCGGGCCCACGUAGGGAGAGGCGUCCUCAGAUUCUGCGGAGGGCGAAGGAGACCACAAGAGAAAGCUCGAGGAGGUUGACGCCGGCGCGAAGGUGAACGACGACGUGGAGGAUGCGUGGAAGGCAAUGGCAUGACUUAGUUUCUCCAACACCUUGCCCCUCUAUAUCCACGUGUGUGUUGUAUUGUAUCUAGGGUUUAGUGUCUUAAGCAAUGAUUCUAGCGUGUCAAACAUGGUCGGCUUUGUGUUAAGCUUGGAUUGGAAUCCAUCUGAUCCGUUCAUUAUCUCUAUUGGGAUCAGACGUCAGUCAAAACAGAGAGUCCUCCGAGAAGCCUGGGGAGCCAUGACUGAAUUACCGCUACAACAGCAAAAAUUUGCUGCAACCGGUGACCUGCAGGAGACUACCCACGUAAUUGAUGUGCCCAAUACAAAGGUAUAACCAGUUGAAAUCUGUUUUGUAUUUGGGUUCUGUUUCAUGUAAAGUUUUUUGAAGCCAUUGCUCUGUGGGGAACAAAACAGAAACAGAGAAAGCAUCAAACACAGAAAAAUAAUAUUUGUGUGUACCGUUGAUUUAGACACAUAAUUUGCAUAUGCUGAUUAUGGCAGUUCAUCCAGGUUGAUGUUCUAAUAUGGAAAGCAGGUGAAACGAUCAGAAACCUUUAAAUGAGCAAAGGCGCGAAAGAUUCAAAUUACAAAGGAUGUAGAUGUUCCUUCAGAUGCCAUUACUCGUUCGAUUGAAUUGUUCGGAACACAUGUGAGUAUUGCCUAGGCUGCAGCGUAGCUUAUUAAGAGUGUUAUAACUGAUGUAUGCUAAAGGUUGAAGAUGGUGGUUCCCCUACCUUGAUGGACAAAGGUUUUGGGUCCACACAGUUAGGUUCAGAGCAGUUUCAGAGUGGAGGCUUGUUUCUUCUUCCUCAUCACGCAUGUGUCGGGGCUCCCCUAACAUCGACCUCGACCUCAAGCAGUGGUGCCCCUCUCAUGGCCGGUUUAAGCAGCGUUCCAAGGCAGACUGCCAUCAGGAUGGACACCAUGCUUCUGCCCUACAUCCACCGCUGGCAUGUCGUCCCCUGUAGGUUCACGUAGGGGCGAGAGGGACGACAUGGAGUAGCACUGUCGCAGUGUAGCACUCAUAUAUUGCCUAUGUCUUUCACUUUAUGAUUCCAAAUCAGAUUACCCUGUCAAGGUCAGUACUGCUCCUUUUUGCUGUUUCUUGUUAUCAAUAUUUUAGUGCCACUUCUAAAAUAUCAAAUUACCAAUCCUUCUCCAUACAUGUAGUCUUACAUUUCUAUGUCCUUAGAUAUUUGUUAUGAUCUGUUUAGUUCGUACAUAAAUAUUCAGAAAUAGUUCAAUGCGUAAUUCAUGAUUAAAAUUUAUGCUAAUUAGGCUUUAGUUUGGUGCCACUUUGAUUCUUAGACUAAGCUUGGCUUGCCUAUGAUAUAACAAUAUCAUGUAGAGAUUUUGCUGAAUUUUAUGUGAAUAAUAUAGACAAAUGGAUAUCGGAUUUUUGAUGAAUAAUA